UCAGACAUGGUGUUGUGGUGACAUGGCCUCUUCAAAUAUAAGUUCAACAUUUGUAUUGGGGGCAGUCCGGGGUUCGAUUCCCUGUGUCUGAA